UGAAAAAUGUAAAGGGAGUUGCACUGAACUGAAAUAAAGAUGUCAGCAAGGCUGCCUACCCUGUGGAAGGUUUCAAGCUUGGAGAAACUAUCCAUUAUGACAUCACCCACCCCUAAUGGACCAUGGCAUAGGAGAUUCAUGUAUUCCUAACUGUCUACUAGCUUUUUCCUACUGUGUAGAAAGACAAGACUAAUGAGAAGGACUCAGACAAGCAGAAGUUCAAAUGCAUUCUAAAGUCACUAUGAAGAAAUCAGAACCUUCUGGACUAUACCUGGAAGGGACUGAACAGCAGCAGCCUGGGAUGGAGAACAGCCAAGAGUUCAACAGACUUCAAUUGAGACACAUGGG